CGGUACCUGCAGAAAAAGCACCGGCUAACUACGUGCCAGCAGCCGCGGUAAUACGUAGGGUGCAAGCGUUGUCCGGAAUUAUUGGGCGUAAAGAGCUCGUAGGCGGUUUGUCGCGUCUGCUGUGAAAUCCCGAGGCUCAACCUCGGGCUUGCAGUGGGUACGGGCAGACUAGAGUGCGGUAGGGGAGAUUGGAAUUCCUGGUGUAGCGGUGGAAUGCGCAGAUAUCAGGAGGAACACCGAUGGCGAAGGCAGAUCUCUGGGCCGUAACUGACGCUGAGGAGCGAAAGCAUGGGGAGCGAACAGGAUUAGAUACCCUGGUAGUCCAUGCCGUAAACGUUGGGCGCUAGAUGUAG
rnacentral:rRNA from 1 species